rnacentral:rRNA from 1 species
CCUACGGGUGGCUGCAGUGAGGAAUAUUGGUCAAUGGGCGCGAGCCUGAACCAGCCAAGUAGCGUGAAGGAUGACUGCCCUACGGGUUGUAAACUUCUUUUAUAAAGGAAUAAAGUUCGGCACGUAUACCGUUUUGUAUGUACUUUAUGAAUAAGGAUCGGCUAACUCCGUGCCAGCAGCCGCGGUAAUACGGAGGAUCCGAGCGUUAUCCGGAUUUAUUGGGUUUAAAGGGAGCGUAGGUGGGUGGUUAAGUCAGUUGUGAAAGUUUGCGGCUCAACCGUAAAAUUGCAAUUGAUACUGGCAGUCUUGAGUACAGUUGAGGUAGGCGGAAUUCGUGGUGUAGCGGUGAAAUGCUUAGAUAUCACGAAGAACUCCGAUUGCGAAGGCAGCUUACUAAACUGUAACUGACACUGAUGCUCGAAAGUGUGGGUAUCAAACAGGAUUAGAUACCCGUGUAGUC